rnacentral:rRNA from 1 species
CAGAAGGUGCAAGCGUUACUCGGAAUUACUGGGCGUAAAGCGUCUGUAGGUGUCCUUCCACGUCUGGAUUUAAAUUGCGGGGCUCAACCCCGCAUCUGAUCUGGAAACGAGAGGGAUCGAGUCAUUCAGAGGCAUCUGGAAUGUCAUGUGUAGGGGUAAAAUCCGUAGAUACAUGAUGGAACGCCAAAAGCGAAGGCAGGAUGCUAGGAAUGUACUGACACUCAGAGACGAAAGCGUGGGGAGCAAAGGGGGAUUAGAUACCCCCGUAGUCCACGCCCUCAACGAUGCGAGCUCGGUGUAGGGAUUUCAAUCUGUCCCUGUGCCUUAGCUUACGCGGUAAGCUCGCCGCCUGGGAAGUACGGCCGCAAGGCUA